rnacentral:rRNA from 1 species
GAUGAACGCUGUCGGCGUGCCUAAUACCUCCAACUCGAGCCAACUGACGGAAAGCUUGCUUCUCUGUUGUUAGCUGCCGACGGGUGAGUAACACGUCGAUAACCUACCUAUAAGACUGGGAUAACUCCGAGAAACCGUAGCUAAUACCUGAUAAUAUUUUGAACCGCUUGGUUAAAAAAUCAAAGACGCUCUUGCUGUCACUUAUAGAUGGAUCCGCGCUGCAUUAUCUAGUUGGUAAGGUAACGGCUUACCAAGGCAACGGUGCAUAGCCGACCUGAGAGGGUGACAGGCCACACUGCAACUGAGCCACGGUCCAGACUCCUGUGGGAGGCAACAGUCGGGAAUCUUGAGCAAUGGGCGAAAACCUGCCAGAACCACUGGGCGAGCGUGAUGAAGGUCUCCGGCUCGUAAAAAUCUGUUAUCAGGGAAGAACAUAUGUGUAAGUAACUGUGCACAUGUUGACGGUACCUUAUCAGAAAGCUACGGCUAACUACGUG